UUUUAACACGAAGUGAGUGGCGGACGGGUGAGUAACACGUGGGUAACCUGCCCAGAAGCAGGGGAUAACACCUGGAAACAGAUGCUAAUACCGUAUAACAGAGAAAACCGCCUGGUUUUCUUUUAAAAGAUGGCUCUGCUAUCACUUCUGGAUGGACCCGCGGCGCAUUAGCUAGUUGGUGAGGUAACGGCUCACCAAGGCGAUGAUGCGUAGCCGACCUGAGAGGGUAAUCGGCCACAUUGGGACUGAGACACGGCCCAGACUCCUACGGGAGGCAGCAGUAGGGAAUCUUCCACAAUGGACGCAAGUCUGAUGGAGCAACGCCGCGUGAGUGAAGAAGGGUUUCGGCUCGUAAAGCUCUGUUGUUAAAGAAGAACGUGGGUGAGAGUAACUGUUCACCCAGUGACGGUAUUUAACCAGAAAGCCACGGCUAACUACGUGCCAGCAGCCGCGGUAAUACGUAGGUGGCAAGCGUUAUCCGGAUUUAUUGGGCGUAAAGCGAGCGCAGGCGGUCUUUUAAGUCUAAUGUGAAAGCCUUCGGCUCAACCGAAGAAGUGCAUUGGAAACUGGGAGACUUGAGUGCAGAAGAGGACAGUGGAACUCCAUGUGUAGCGGUGAAAUGCGUAGAUAUAUGGAAGAACACCAGUGGCGAAGGCGGCUGUCUGGUCUGUAACUGACGCUGAGGCUCGAAAGCAUGGGUAGCGAACAGGAUUAGAUACCCUGGUAGUCCAUGCCGUAAACGAUGAUUACUAAGUGUUGGAGGGUUUCCGCCCUUCAGUGCUGCAGCUAACGCAUUAAGUAAUCCGCCUGGGGAGUACGACCGCAAGGUUGAAACUCAAAAGAAUUGACGGGGGCCCGCACAAGCGGUGGAGCAUGUGGUUUAAUUCGAAGCUACGCGAAGAACCUUACCAGGUCUUGACAUCUUCUGCCAACCUAAGAGAUUAGGCGUUCCCUUCGGGGACAGAAUGACAGGUGGUGCAUGGUUGUCGUCAGCUCGUGUCGUGAGAUGUUGGGUUAAGUCCCGCAACGAGCGCAACCCUUAUUACUAGUUGCCAGCAUUCAGUUGGGCACUCUAGUGAGACUGCCGGUGACAAACCGGAGGAAGGUGGGGACGACGUCAAAUCAUCAUGCCCCUUAUGACCUGGGCUACACACGUGCUACAAUGGAUGGUACAACGAGUCGCGAAACCGCGAGGUUUAGCUAAUCUCUUAAAACCAUUCUCAGUUCGGACUGUAGGCUGCAACUCGCCUACACGAAGUUGGAAUCGCUAGUAAUCGCGGAUCAGCAUGCCGCGGUGAAUACGUUCCCGGGCCUUGUACACACCGCCCGUCACACCAUGAGAGUUUGUAACACCCAAAGCCGGUGGGGUAACCUUUUAGGAGCUAGCCGUCUAAGGUGGG
rnacentral:rRNA from 1 species